rnacentral:rRNA from 1 species
ACGAACGCUGGCGGCAGGCUUAACACAUGCAAGUCGAACGCCCCGCAAGGGGAGUGGCAGACGGGUGAGUAACGCGUGGGAACCUACCCCUUGGUACGGAAUAACUGAUGGAAACGUUAGCUAAUACCGUAUGAGCGCUGAGGCGGAAAGAUUUAUCGCCAAGGGAUGGGCCCGCGUAGGAUUAGCUAGUUGGUGGGGUAAAGGCCUACCAAGGCGACGAUCCUUAGCUGGUCUGAGAGGAUGAUCAGCCACACUGGGACUGAGACACGGCCCAGACUCCUACGGGAGGCAGCAGUGGGGAAUCUUGCGCAAUGGGCGAAAGCCUGACGCAGCCAUGCCGCGUGAAUGAUGAAGGUCUUAGGAUUGUAAAAUUCUUUCACCGGGGACGAUAAUGACGAUACCCGGAGAAGAAGCCCCGGCUAACUUCGUGCCAGCAGCCGCGGUAAGAC